rnacentral:lncRNA from 1 species
AAAACAAAUCGGUUUUUUCCCCCCUCAAUCUGCUGGAUCUUUUUAGGAACAUGGAGAAAUGAAUGAACUUUCUCAUUCAGAGAAAACACCCCAGAAGAUUGCAGACAGAAAUGUCUUUCCCUUGGCACAGGAAAUGGACAUUCAGCCAGAAAAGGAUGCUUCUCCUAGUCAGCAUGGCUUUGAUUUGGAUGAACUUUUAAGCUCUACUCCAGAACUCAAAUCUGACCCCCAAAUGCAAAACAGCCCCUUGAAUACCACCCUCGAGCGCAACACGGUCUCCCUUUUCGCUGAAGUUUCAGGCCUCAGCCCAGACCUCCUCACAGAUAUGGAUGAUGGUGCUGAUUUGCAGGGUAAAUAUAAUGUUUCUUUCUGCAUUUUUCCCUGCUGGGAUUUAGAAUUCAGGAAUCCUAGCUUGAUUGUCAUUCCCCAAAAAAACCCUUGUUAUUUCCUUUCCACGGGACAUUCUGAUUUGGAUGCAUAAAGAGCAGAUGUCAGCUGAUGUCCAUGUCUACUGUUUUUUGUAGGGGAUACCUUAGAAACCUUGAUAGCAGAAAACACUCAGCUUCAAGAAGCA